CAAUAGCGUAUAUUAAAGUUGUUGCAGUUAAAAAGCUCGUAGUUGGAUUUCUGGUGAGAUGGAUUAUGUCUAGGUCGAAAGAUCUUGUUCAUGGUUCGUUUUGCCCUUCUUGUCAGGAACCCGCUGAGAUUCGCGUCUUGUCGGUGGAAUGGCAUCGUUUACUGUGAAAAAAUUAGAGUGUUCAAAGCAGGCAUCGCCGUUGAAUACAUUAGCAUGGAAUAAUAAGAUAAGACUUUGGUGGUCUAUUUUGUUGGUUUGCACGCCAAAGUAAUGAUUAAUAGGGAUAGUUGGGGGUAUUCGUAUUCUAUCGCUAGAGGUGAAAUUCUUAAAUUUAUGGAAGACGAACUACUGCGAAAGCAUUUACCAAGGAUGUUUUCAUUAA
rnacentral:rRNA from 1 species